AGAGUUUGAUCCUGGCUCAGAUUGAACGCUGGCGGCAUGCCUAACACAUGCAAGUCGAACGGUAACAGGCCGCUCUGAUCCCUUCGGGGUGAAGUUGGUGCUGACGAGUGGCGGACGGGUGAGUAAUACGUAGGAAUCUGCCCAGAAGUGGGGGAUAACUCGAAGAAAUUCGAGCUAAUACCGCAUACGUCCCACGGGACAAAGCGGGGGAUCUUCGGACCUCGCGCUUUUGGAUGAGCCUACGUCGGAUUAGCUAGUUGGUAGGGUAAAGGCCUACCAAGGCGACGAUCCGUAGCUGGUUUGAGAGGAUGAUCAGCCACACUGGGACUGAGACACGGCCCAGACUCCUACGGGAGGCAGCAGUGGGGAAUAUUGGACAAUGGGCGCAAGCCUGAUCCAGCAAUGCCGCGUGUGUGAAGAAGGCCUGCGGGUUGUAAAGCACUUUUAUCGGGAAAGAAAUGUCCGGGGUUAAUAACCUUCGGAUCUUGACGGUACCCGUUGAAUAAGCACCGGCUAACUCAGUGCCAGCAGCCGCGGUAAUACUGAGGGUGCAAGCGUUAAUCGGAAUUACUGGGCGUAAAGCGAGUGUAGGCGGCUACGUAAGUCGGUUGUGAAAGCCCUGGGCUUAACCUGGGAACUGCAUCCGAUACUGCGUGGCUAGAGUCUGGUAGAGGGAAGUGGAAUUCCGGGUGUAGCGGU
rnacentral:rRNA from 1 species